CUGACUGAAAGACCAACCGACUGACCAAGUGACCGACCUACCGACUGACCGACCGACUGACCGACCGACUGACCGACCGACCCACCCCAGGUGAAAUGUAUGUACACCCCGUACACCCAGCUGAUCCAGACUGGCAUUAUUUAGAGAAGAUAGAGAAAAUGAAGAAAGUAAGUACACCCUGCUGUCUUCCCACCCUGACAGGUUUGCUGGAGGCUGAACCAGAACCAGUGAUCUAACUGGGUUAACUGGGAUCUUCUGACUGGUUGGGGAAAUCUCACCUGUGAGGUCAAAGUGUCUUUCAUCACGUUUCUUACGCAACCCCGCUGCAAGCCGUGGGACCGGAGGAGCCGUGGAGCGCUGCUGCCCCCUGCUGGAGCUGCCAUGAACGGCACCGUGUGAUCAGCUCAGUUUGAUUAUUUAUCAGGGACGAUGUUAAAAAAACAUCAUCAAUAAGUGGCGGAGAUUUUCUACAGAUUUAGCUUCAGCUGGUUUCCAUCUGCAGGUGACUUACUGUAAAAUCAUCCAACAUGCAUCCAUAUAAUAAUAAUAAUAUAUUAUUAUCUCUCAUUUUUAUUCACUUAUUGUUUGUGCAGCUGGACUUUUUCCUUCUUGCUGUUUCUGGUCACAAACUUUUCCAUGUAGCGCCGCGACGCUAACAGUAGCAGCAAAGCAGCCAGUCAGAAAGAUGAGCAUGACAAAUAACAUUUCAAUCAAUUAUUUUACCUUCUAUUUUAUAACAAUGAUUGAAAAGCAGAGUAAAUUUUAUGAUUAAAAAAAUAUUACACCCUA